AUGGCGGCCAGCGAGCCGUCCAGCGGGAGCAGGUCGAGCGGCACGGCGGGGUCGCCGAUACUGGGCCUGGUCACCGCGCCCGACACCCUCAGAGCAUGCAAAACGCCACCAACAACAACAAUGACGACGACGACACCUAAAGCUGUGGCGCCGGCGGCCCGACACGAGGACGGGGAGGAGGGGGACGACAUGAGCGACCACCAGCAGAGGAACACGCCGUGGACGGAGUGGGUCGAGGAGUACGAGCCCGGCGUGUUCAUCACCGUCCGGGCCUACCCCGACCACCCCAUGCAGCUCCGGCACGUCGAACUCAGCCGUGACAAGUUCGGGGAGGUAAAGGCGAGGGUGUGGUGGCAGGAGAACAAGGACAGGCUGCGCAGCUUCUACUCCUUCUGA
rnacentral:rRNA from 1 species